rnacentral:lncRNA from 1 species
UUUGGGCGUGAAUCUCUGGCCUAGGACACCGGAGAGUGGCAGGAUCCCAACACCGCCUGGGAAGUCAGAAGUCUGGGCCCUCUCUUUCUGGGUAAGUCCUGGUUCUUAUUCUCUGGAUCUCAUUUCCCACCUUUUAAAAUGAGUAACCCCUUUAGUUUUAUUCUAAACCCGUGUGAUUCUAAGUCCUUUUCCAUCAUCUACAGAGAGCUCUCUUGAGAGGCUGAUUCAGUACAGACGCUGGAGGGUGAGCACAGACAGACAGGCUACACAACACCGACCACUUCUUGCCAAACAUGUGGCCGAUAGAAGACGAGAAAGGACCAAGAAACCCCACAGAUUGAAGGAGACAAAGGACAUGUGGGCUCUGAUCCGCUGCAUGAAGAGCCCACUCUCAUGGCUUCAUCACGUCCUGCAGGCUGCACCUCCUAAUACCAUCGUUAGGGAGUUGGUUUCAAACGAACGCUUUUAGAGGAAUAGGUACACUCCAACCAUAGGACUGGGUGAGGUCGGUAUGUCUGCCACCUGAGAACUGUGUCACAGUUAAUUUACUUGUUUUGAUAUCAUGUUGCAUAAGAUGUUAAUAGCAGAGACUGUCAUGUGAAGUGUGUAUGGGAG